rnacentral:rRNA from 1 species
UACGGAGGGUGCAAGCGUUAUCCGGAUUUACUGGGUUUAAAGGGUGCGUAGGUGGGUCUGUAAGUCAGUGGUGAAAUCUCCGGGCUUAACCCGGAAACUGCCAUUGAUACUAUAGGUCUUGAAUACUCUGGAGGUAAGCGGAAUAUGUCAUGUAGCGGUGAAAUGCUUAGAUAUGACAUAGAACAUCAAUUGCGAAGGCAGCUUACUACGGGGUCAUUGACACUGAGGCACGAAAGCGUGGGGAUCAAACAGG